rnacentral:lncRNA from 1 species
GCGCAACCUGCUCCGCCUGAGGAGCCUGGGGUGGAGGUUUUUGCUGGUAAAACUCAUCGACUUUCCUCCUGUACAUAUCUUGAUCAUGGCCUGAAAUUUGCAUCUUCUGCAACUCAUGCAUCUGCCGUUGAAUCUCCGCCGCCGGAGGAACCACGGGCUCGCCUAUCACCUGCCGAACCAUAACCGUAGGGGCCACCGGCGGAGGAUCCUGCAACUUCGCCGACGUGGG